ensembl:misc_RNA Metazoa_SRP Metazoan signal recognition particle RNA
ACUGGGCAUGGUGACACAUGCCUGUAGACCCAGCUAUUCAGGAGGCUGAGGCAGGAGGAUCACUUGAGCCCAGGAGUUCUGGGUUGUAGUGUGCUAUGCCAAUUGGGUGUCCACACUAAGUUCAGCAUCAAUACAGGGACCUCCUGGGGUGGGGGACCAGCAGAUUGCCUAGGGAAGGGUGAACUGGCCCAGGUUGGAACUGGAGCAGGUCAGAACUGCCAUGCUGAUCAGUAGUGGGUUCCUGCUUGGAAAUAGGCACUGCAUGCCAGCCUGGGGGACACAGUGAGGGCCCAUCUCU